rnacentral:rRNA from 1 species
GGACCCGCACAAGCGGUGGAGCGUGAUCUUUAAUUCGAUGGUAAACGAUAAACCUUACCAAGGCUUGACAUCUCGGGAAGGGCUUCCGAAAGGAAACUGUGCCCUUGGGAACCCGAAGACAGGUGAUGCAUGGCCGUCGUCAGCUCGUGUCGUGAGAUGUUAGGUUAAGUCCUUCAACGAGCGCAACCCUUGUCUUCAGUUGUAUUUUCUGAAGAUACUGCCCCGGUAACGGGAGGAAGGAGGGAUGAUGUCAGGUCAGUAUUUCCCUUACGCCUUGGGCUAGAAUCGCGCUACAAUGGUCAGUACAAUGCGAAGCGAAGCAGUAAUGUGAAGCAAAUCGCAUCAAAGCUGGUCCCAGUUCGGAUAGAGGGCUGAAACUCGCCCUCUUGAAGUCGGAAUCGCUAGUAAUCGCAGAUCAGCAUGUUG